rnacentral:rRNA from 1 species
AUGACGGCGCCGGAGAUCCUGGAGGUGCGGUGCGCCGGCUGCGGCGAGACGCUGGAGGUAGAGCAGGGGAUGACGGAGUUCGCCUGCCCCGGCUGCGCCAUGCCGCAGGCCCUCCCGCCGGAGCUCAUGCCGCAUCCGCCGCCGCGCCCGCGCCGCGCCCUGCCGCUCCACCACGGCGGGGGUGCUAGGGACCAGAUGCCGUGCGGUGGAUGCGGCGCUGUGCUUGCCGUGCCGCGGGGCCUCCGGCGCAUCACCUGCCCGCUGUGCGCAUCCGACCUCGUAGUCGACGGCGACCCCCUCCGGCUGCACCAAGCCGGCGUACAGGUCAUUUCGCCUGCGGCCGUUGCUUCUAUCGCGCCCACGUCCCUGCGGCGGUCGGAGGAAGAGCCCAGAAGCCAAGCAAUUCACGUGGGACAGGUGCAAGUAGGAAGGUACAAUAAGCCAAUCCAUUUUGAGCAGGAACGCGAACCCUCUUUUGAUCGUUCAGUUCAUGAAGAGUCAAGCAAUUCACCCAGAUCAAACCCAAAGAUAGCAGUUCAUGUACGAUGUGCAGAAGAUGCACCUGUUGAUCAGUUAUUUCAUAGAGAUGAGUCACACAUUAAAUUACCCAAUGGAACUGUUCCCAGGCAUGGUUUUAAGAAGAAAGGUGAUCUAUCUGCUAGUCCUGGAUCCAUUUGUGCAGAGAGGAUAGUGCUGGACCAUCCUAGUAAGGUCAGCAACGCACUGCGAUCACAAGGUGGGCCUUCCAUUCAUUCAUUUCAUACAGAGGAGGUACAUGGGCAGCAUCAAAGUAACAUCAUUGGAAAUCAUGAAAACCAGAAAGCUAGACAUGCUUCAGUGGCUAGUAUUGUGGAGCAGGAAAUAGUAAAGCCUCCGAGUCACACUGCUUCUGGAAAACAGGUGCAUACUGAGUCGCAUGGUAACACAACUGUACGGAAUCAGAAGAGGCAAAGGAGCAGCUGGACUACUGGUGGGAAGCGCAAGAAAAAACAUAUGGGCUCAGGCAAAGAGCUUCAUCCUAAAUGUAAUAAGUAUUCAGCUGCCCAGCCAGAAUAUACUCCAAAUAGCAAUACUGUUCAGGAGCCAGUUUCUUCCCCAGAUGAAAAUCAGUUUAAUCCUGCAGAUGUUGACAGAAUAAUUGCCAAUCUUUACCCUACUUCAUUAUCUCAGAAGCAGGCACCUCGAGCGGGAUCACACGAGUUGGACAACAUUGAUGCAACCUUGCCUCCUGUCUCUAGAGAUCAUGGUAUAUCUCCAGUGAACAAUGUUUCACGGUGCCACUGUCAAUGCUCAGCAGAUGCUAUGGGUGCUCUUGCUAACCGGAGUUUCAAUUCAGAACAAGAGCAUGAGAUUCCUCAGGGAAGUUCCAAUGGGAUUUGCCCUCAUGGUAAAAAUGGUGCACAAGGGCAACAGGUACAAGAUGACAGUCAUCCUGUGCAGGUGGAAGUUGAGUGUCACCACAACAAAGCUGCAGGACAACACAAGAGUGUAGCAAAAGGCCGCGUGCAUUCGCCAAAUGAGAGGGACUAUAUUGAAAACCGGUCUCGCACUGGUAUUCUCCAGCAGGUGGCCGUAGCUACUGCCUGCUGUCAUCCUACCCCAUCACCGCGGUUGACCGCUACCCGCUUGCCCAGUACCACUGUUACUUCUGUCACAAGAUCAUCAGUUCAUCGAUCACCACCGUAUUGCGAACCACCAGAAACUAUCCAUUCCCAGGAUGCUCAUGCUCCUGGCAUAGGAUAUAUGAAAUCUAAAGUGCGCAAGGGGAGGGGCCCUGCAAAACUCACUGAACCACGUAGGGUAGCUGACAGGCCUAUGCUGACUCCGACUAAUGUGGACAUAUUGACUUGUACUGGCAGCACAUGGGAUAUCGACCCUCCUUGUCCCAAGGUGGCCUCUACCAUCACUUUACUUCUCAAGCAGUGGCACCCAGGGUCAACUUACGUAAUGGCUUGUCAGCAAACAAACGAAGUGCACCCAGAACAAUUGGUUCUCCACUUUCACCAGUAUCAUUCGGAUAGAAGGGCUAUCAUCUUGGAUGAGUUCCUUCGACGUUACAAGUGGGCCUCUGGGCGGGAGGCAGAGUGCCUGAAGCUAUUCAACCGCAGAACAACCAGACAGUUUACUGGACUCCUGUGUGAUGAGAAGCGAAAGGCUAGAGUGAAGUUGUUUGCAUCAAGGAAAGUGAAAGGAGCUUCGGAUGCUACCAAGUCCAAUGGACAGUCAAAUUUGGAUGACAAGGGUGCUAGCAAAAAGUCGAAGCUGCCGCGCAGAGACCCGGCAGGUGUAGGGCAUGAGGAUGACGACCCUCUUCAGUGGAAGCAGUUCCCCCCUGAAUGGAUGCUGCCAAAGUGGUGGGAGAUGCUAUGUGAGCACUGGGCUUCAGAAGAAAAUUUGCAGUUCUCUGCCCUGAUGAGGAAGAAUCGAUUCACAGGAGGCUCCGCCCGGCACACAGCAGGCUCCCGGAGCAUAACCAUGCAUCGCAAACUUAUGAUGAUAGAGAAUGGUGGGAAGCCGGUAUCGGAAGUUGAACUAUUUAAUAAGACCCAUAAACAUGGCGGUGGUAAGGGGGAAUUUGUUACCGAAAAAGCGAGGCGAACCGUGGAGGCCUUCCAGCGGCGUUUAGAGGAGGCAGGUGAUACUGAACUAGACCCCCAUGUUGUAUGGUCAGAGGAGGUAGGGGGCCGUCACCGAGGGAGGUACUAUGGACUCCCUGGUAUCAUUGACAAAGCCCGUAUAGGCCACUUGUCAAAGUCCAUCCCAAGUUCUCCAGGUCGAAAGAGAAGGCAGCUGUUCACGCAGGAUCAGGUGCAGGAGAUGAUCAAUCACGCCACACGGCAGAUGAAUGAAACUUGGGAGAACAGGUUUCAGUCUUUGGAAAAGAGUAUGCGUGGCAUGGUGUCAGCGGAUAUUUCACAGCAUGCUUCAGCAGCUGGACCUGGGGCUGAGGAUGACGAGGCAUCACACGAGCAUACAUGGGAUUCUACUGACGAUGGAACAUAUCAAUCCGCAGAAGAUGACAGUGGGGGGGCACAGUGGUGA